GUAUAGCUCAGUGGUAGAACACUUGCCUUGAAUGCAAAAGGCCCUGGGUUCAAUCCCCAGCAUCACCA